rnacentral:tRNA from 1 species
GCCUGGGUGGCUCAGUCGGUUGGGCGUCUGACUUGGGCUCAGGUCAUGAUCUCAUGGUCUGUGAGUUCGAGCCCCACGUUGGGCU